CUGAAAGCCUAUUUGUUCAGCGCUGAAGUUUUCUAAGCGCGUGAACGCUCCAUCACGUGAACUGCGCCUGGACAGGAAAAUGCAGCGCGCUGCUCAGUUGUUCGCGCUCAGGGAUGACGAGAGAAGACUCAGAGACCCUUUUCUUUACUUUCGUGUGCGUUUAUGAAAAGCAAACCACAUACACACUUAUACGAACUUGUAUAUUGGCAUCCUGAUCUUGAAAAUAAAGCUGAUAAAGGAU